UGGACACCCACCUUAUUAACCUCAUGGAGGGACCCAGUUUAGUACCAUGACACCAGCUGCAGGGAUGUCAUUUCAACCAACACAGGCACCACCACGACAUUUCGAAGGAACGCAAGGGGCCACACAAGAUACCUUGGAGGCGAACUUCGAAGACUGGAGUCGGUUAUUUUCUACACCUAACCAGCAUGCCGAUCCUACCUUCCAGACACCUGUGGCCACCGGACGUCCAGGUAGAGACGUAGGGCCUCCAGACCGACACACAUACCCUACAGACCACG